GAUGAAGAACGCAGCGAAAUGCGAUAAGUAAUGUGAAUUGCAGAAUUCAGUGAAUCAUCGAAUCUUUGAACGCACAUUGCGCCCGCCAGUAUUCUGGCGGGCAUGCCUGUCCGAGCGUCAUUUCAACCAUCAAGCCUCGUGCUUGUGUUGGGGACCUGCGUCCGACGCAGGCCCUGAAAACCAGUGGCGGGCUCGCUGUCCACACCGAGCGUAGUAACUAACCUCGCUAUGGAGUGGCGCGGGCGCCUGCCGUAAAACCCCCAAUUUCACAAGGUUGACCUCGGAUCAGGUAGGAAUACCCGCUGAACUUAAGCAUACAAUAAGCGGAGGA
rnacentral:misc_RNA from 1 species